UACGUAGGCAGCGAGCGUUGUUCGGAGUUACUGGGCGUAAAGCGUGCGUAGGCGGUGGUCCAAGUCUGGCGUGAAAUCUCCCGGCUCAACUGGGAGGGUGCGCCGGAAACUGGGCCGCUGGAGUACGGGAGAGGCAAGCGGAAUUCCAGGUGUAGCGGUGAAAUGCGUAGAUAUCUGGAGGAACACCCGUGGUGCAGACGGCUUGCUGGACCGUGACUGACGCUGAGGCACGAAAGCGUGGGUAGCAAACAGG
rnacentral:rRNA from 1 species